CACACCCACGUUGUUUACGUGGCCCACAGGUGCGGACUGUGUUUAGCUAACAUGCUAAAUGCUAAAGUCCUCAGAGUGGAUCUUCCAGCAGUGACUUCUGCUUUCACUUUUGUUGAGGUGUGUGAGGCCUGUUGUAUUACACCUUGAAAAGAGACGAGCAGAGGCAUUGAGUCUCGUGCAGGUUUCCGGGGUGCACGAGACUCAUUAAUGUCGUUCACACAGUUGGAAGAAGUACUCGGCCUCGAAUACAAAUACCACAAGGUUCAUACCGUUGUCUUUGCCCUUCACGAAGCUCUCCCACUCUCUGAACCACUGCAUGCUGAUGCACAGGAUCACCGUCGGAGCCUCUUCAGCCUGAAACUCUUUGUUCAGCUGCAGACGAGAGGAAAAACCGCGCGUUCAGCACGAAGCAUGAAGACACAUUAACAAACAGGAAAUGAUGUUAUCUCGUACUUCCUGCAGUGCCGUGGUGACAUAUGACUGAAAGCAGAUCGUAAGUGGUGACUUGCGACGGACUCUCUUUAGCCAGGAAAGGCCGCAUGUCGAGGCCCUCCAGCGGGAAGGACACGUGGCUGCCGAUCUUGAAGGAAUACAUGACCUCGUGCCGGAAGCGUUUCAGGAACUCCUUCCUCCGCUGCUGUAUCCACAUCAGCGUCCUCGUCCAUCUCUUGCGAGCCUCCACGGAGGGGUGAGCCAGACACCCUCCUCUCCUUCAGCCUCUCCUUCUCCGAGAUCACCCCUCCGGUACCGACGCCCACCAUCCCUCCUGCCGGCGACCUGACCCCGUCACACUCAUCCUGCAGGAGCAGCUCGCCGUCGCCCCCUCCUCCCCCCUCCCCUCGGUCACUGCUGGAGCCAGAGUCACAUGAUAGGAAUUCAUCCUCAGAUGGGGAGCGCUCUCCGUCUCUUAUCUCCUCACCAUCACUACCCUCCCCGCUCAUGCUGCACUCUGUCAGAGGCUCCUUCAGCUCUUCGUGUAGCUGGUCCAUUAGACAGCGCAGGAACUCCUGAGUGUCCUGUAGCAUAAAGGCAUAAUGCAUUCACUCAACAGGAGGACGCACGAGUGCUGCUACAUAAACACAGACAGUCAGGAGUUUACAGAGAAGUUAUUUCAAAACAAGAAGAUGGACAGAAAUCUCUUACAGAGAGCAGGCUUCUUAUCGGUCCGGACCAAUCCACUGCAGUCCAGGAAGAACUGAGUGAGAGGAGGACUGGUGAGGAAGAGGAGGAAACACAAGUGUUUAACUAACGGAGCGUCUUCAACCACCUCCUGGCAAUUGGAACUGCUUUUACUGGGUGACCUACUGGCUGAGGAGCUGCCUCCUGGGAAGAAAGAUUAAAAGUACUAUAAAUAUGAAGUUGAGUAAGAAACCGGUUGUGUGAAUUUGUAAUGGCAUGGAUGAGGAGUGAUACCUGCUCUGUGGCUUUACAGUGGUGGGGAGCAGCACAGGCCGGCACCAGCGCCGGCCUGUGCUCCAAAAACACCUCCCGCUCACACACAUAACACCAGAUCCUGAACGUCGUCAGGUUCACAGUCAGGUUGUGCUUCUGAGUCUAAAAGGAAACACUCGCAAUCAUCCAAGGGACAUUUUUCCUCUCAUAACCAUUGCACUUCAAACUGACAGGUAUGUUUGUUUAGUGUUGGAGGGUUUUACCUGUGCAUGCAGGGUGCUGUGAUCAGAGAAGGAUUCUCCACAACCAACAUAUGGGCAGUCACUCUGCAGAGCAGAGACACUGUAUCAGACAUCACAAUGUCUACCUGUCUCAUUCAUCUGAACUGGCAAAAACACAUAUUUCUCCUCUCACCUGUACAUCUUGUGUAGCCGCUUGCCUGCCUGAGAUUGAGAUCUACUGCAUUUAUAAUUACAUGCAUGUCCCACAUCAUCAUUAAUUAUUAAGUAUUCACCUGGCCUCCACACACAGUACAUCUCUUCUCUUCCCUUUACAGCCUUUGUCACUCUACCAGCCAGACGCUUGGUAUCGCUUGAGUGGAAACCUCCAACACUUCCCCUUGUAUACUCUAUGGAUAAGGGAAUUGCUCAGUUUUCUCAAACAGGAAAGAAUUUGGUGCAAACUCACAGAAAACUGCAGGUUUUGCUGCAGCUCUGUUCUUGGAGCCGAUUUUUAAAACCCUUCUUGUCUUAUUGUUACGAUGGAGUAUAAGAGCCAUUUUUAGUUUUUUACAAUGCACUGUAACUUUUAUUCUUGUAUCUGUCUUGUUCUAUUUUAGCUUUGUUUUACUUUA